CCUACGGGUGGCAGCAGUGAGGAAUAUUGGUCAAUGGGAGGGAUCCUGAACCAGCCAAGCCGCGUGCAGGACGACGGCCCUAUGGGUUGUAAACUUCUUUUGUACGGGAAUAAAACGCUGUACGAGUACCGUUUUGCGUGUACCGUACGAAUAAGGAUCGGCUAACUCCUUGCCAGCAGCCGCGGUAAUACGGAGGAUCCGAGCGUUAUCCGGAUUUAUUGGGUUUAAAGGGUGCGUAGGUGGUUUGAUAAGUUAGCGGUGAAAUUGGGGGGCUCAACACCGGCGGUGCCGUUGAAACUGGAAGACUAGAGAUCGGGAGCAGUAGGCGGAAUGUGGGGUGUAGCGGUGAAAUGCAUAGAUAUCACGCAGAACUCCGAUUGCGAAGGCAGCUUACUAGGCCGGAACUGACACUGAUGCACGAAAGCGUGGGGAUCGAACAGGAUUAGAUACCCGUGUAGUC
rnacentral:rRNA from 1 species